GGCCAGGCUGAAGACUUUGCCGGAUUAGCUGAGAGGUGGUGCAUGGCCGUCGUCAGUUCGUACUGUGAAGCAUCCUGUUAAGUCAGGCAACGAGCGAGACCCACGCCCACAGUUGCCAGCGUACUCUCCGGAGUGACGGGUACACUGUGGGGACCGCCGCUGCUAAAGCGGAGGAAGGAAUGGGCAACGGUAGGUCAGUAUGCCCCGAAUAUCCCGGGCUACACGCGAGCUACAAUGGUUGGUACAAUGGGUAUCUACCCCGAAAGGGGACGGGAAUCUCCUAAAACCAAUCUUAGUUCGGAUUGAGGGCUGCAACUCGCCCUCAUGAAGCUGGAAUCCGUAGUAAUCGCGUUUCAACAGAACGCGGUGAAUACGUCCCUGCUCCUU
rnacentral:rRNA from 1 species